AAAGUCGUAACAAGGUUUCCGUAGGUGAACCUGCGGAAGGAUCAUUCACUUGAUAAAAGGGCUUGUGAAGCCUUUCUCUUUCUUAACCAAGUGGGGGUUCUU
rnacentral:rRNA from 1 species